AUGGAGAGUUUGAUCCUGGCUCAGGACGAACGCUGGCGGCGUGCUUAACACAUGCAAGUCGAACGGAAAGGCCCUGCUUUUGUGGGGUGCUCGAGUGGCGAACGGGUGAGUAACACGUGAGUAACCUGCCCUUGACUUUGGGAUAACUUCAGGAAACUGGGGCUAAUACCGGAUAGGAGCUCCUGCUGCAUGGUGGGGGUUGGAAAGUUUCGGCGGUUGGGGAUGGACUCGCGGCUUAUCAGCUUGUUGGUGGGGUAGUGGCUUACCAAGGCUUUGACGGGUAGCCGGCCUGAGAGGGUGACCGGCCACAUUGGGACUGAGAUACGGCCCAGACUCCUACGGGAGGCAGCAGUGGGGAAUAUUGCGCAAUGGGGGAAACCCUGACGCAGCAACGCCGCGUGAGUGAGGAAGGCUUUAGGGUCGUAAAGCUCUGUCAGAAGGGAAGAAACUACAGUGGUCUAAUAGGCCAUUGUACUGACGGUACCUUCAAAGGAAGCACCGGCUAACUUCGUGCCAGCAGCCGCGGUAAUACGAAGGGGGCUAGCG
rnacentral:rRNA from 1 species